GUUAACACAUGGCUGCCAGGUUGGAUUGUGCUAAUUUUAUUUGUGCAGUUCAGUCUUCAGUGAUGUAGGGAGGAGUACGAAACAAUACUGAGACCAUAUGUUCCGAUUAACACAACUGAAUUCAAAGCAAUGCUUUUCCCUGCUCAGCUGGAAAACAAGCCCACAGUUUUCAGUGCUGCCAUAUAAGUGUUCAGAAGUAAGAUGACAAAGAAACAUAGAAAGAUCCCUUAAUUCACAUCAAAUAAGAACAGGCUUAAGGAAAACAAAACGAAUUAAGUCUCCCCAUUCAG
rnacentral:lncRNA from 1 species